rnacentral:lncRNA from 1 species
GCUGAUUUGGAUAGAGGCUGUUGAGCAGGGCUGAAGUUGGCUAAUGCCGUGUGCUGUUGGCUUUCAACAAUUCCGAUAGAGAAACUGAAGCACAGAGAGGUUAUGCAGCUUUCCCAGGUUCAUGUAGCUGGUAAGAACAGAGUCCAUGUUCUUAUCACUCAAGAUGUUCUGUUGGGGACGGCAUGCCAUGGUCUUAAGGAUCGCCCCCUUCUCAGAUGAUCUGCUGCUCACCUCAGAUACCUACAGAGACUCUGCUGGUGCCUGUCAAAGGUGCUGUCACCUCCCACUCCCACAAAAAGUGCCGCUGCUCUCUCUCAUCUGCUGAAGCCAGCUCUAAUACCUCAAGGAAUGUCAGAAUAUGGGACAGAAGGAGCCAGGACAUCCACCUUGCACUGUUCUGGGAGGAAGAAAUACAUUUUCUGGCCUGCGCAGGGUGGCUCACGCCUGUAAUCCCAGGACUUUGGGAGGCUGAGGUGGGCAGAUUGCCUGAGCUCAGGAGUUUGUGACCAGCCUUGGCAACACAAGGAAACCCCAUCUCUACUAAAAUACAAAAAAUUAGCCAAGUGUGGCAGCGCGAGCCUGUAAUCCCAGCUACUUGGGAGGCUGAGGCAGGAGAAUUGCUUGAACCCAGGAGGCAGAGGUUGCAGUGAGCUGAGAUCAUGCCACUGCACUUCAGCCUGGGCGACAGAGUAAGAAUCUGUCUCAAAAAAAAAAAAAGAAGAAAUACAUUUUCUGUAUACUUAAAAAUAAUUAAAAUGAGGAGAUCGAGACCAUCCCGGCUAAAACGGUGAAACCCCGUCUCUACUAAAAAUACAAAAAAUUAGCCGG